GGUUUCAUAGUUGAUCGGCACAACAUCGGUUUUUGAUCAGUAAACUGCUGCUAGUCAUACCGAAGGGCCGGGUUCGAUUCCCGGUGAAACCU